AGCUAGUAAGAUCCCUGAAAGAUGAUCAGGUUGAUAGGUCAGAGGUGGAAGCGUGGCGACAUGUGUAGCUGACUGAUACUAAUCGAUCGAGGACUUAACCAA
rnacentral:rRNA from 1 species